UGAAGUUGCUGAGAUUUGGGCAUUAGUUUGUUACUAACUAACACAGCAUAUCCAAAUAGUCCAGACCAGAUAGGAGGAGGCACUCCCCUGGAGUCUGCUUAUCUGUGCAAAGCCCAAAUCUUCUUGACCUCUACAAUGGUUAUUUGGAGUUGCCUUUCCAGGGUCCAUUUCCCUGUCCCUUAGUUUCUGACAGUGGUUUUUAUUCCUUUUCUUCAAAUUUCACUUCUCAAAUUUCAGGGCCAUCUAUCCAUCUAUAGAGCCACAUUCAGCUAUUUGCGUCUCUGUCCUUUCCUUCCCUCCAUCCUGAUCUAAGAAUAAAUGAUAUGCCCAAUGUUGGUCUUUCAAAAAAAUUA
rnacentral:lncRNA from 1 species